rnacentral:rRNA from 1 species
GAUGAACGCUAGCGGCAGGCCUAACACAUGCAAGUCGAGGGGUAGCAGGAUUAAGCUUGCUUAAUUGCUGACGACCGGCGCACGGGUGCGUAACGCGUAUGCAACCUACCUUAUACUGGGGUAUAGCCCGGAGAAAUUCGGAUUAAUCCCCCUUAGUACUAAUGAAUCGCAUGGUUUAUUAGUUAAAGCAUUGCGGUAUAAGAUGGGCAUGCGUCCUAUUAGCUAGGUGGUGAGGUAACGGCUCACCAUGGCUACGAUAGGUAGGGGGCCUGAGAGGGUGGUCCCCCACACUGGUACUGAGACACGGACCAGACUCCUACGGGAGGCAGCAGUGAGGAAUAUUGGUCAAUGGGCGCAAGCCUGAACCAGCCAUGCCGCGUGCAGGAAGAAUGCCCUAUGGGUUGUAAACUGCUUUUAUUUGGGAAUAAACCUCUUUACGUGUAGAGAGCUGAAGGUACCAAAUGAAUAAGCACCGGCUAACUCCGUGCCAGCAGCCGCAGUAA